CAUUUUCAUGUCCUUCCAAGUCUUCAAUUAGUUUCAUAUCUUCUUUAGAGUACCUAGGUUUAUUUUGCUCAAUUACCAGUUUACCGUCAGGAAUUAAGGACAUCACCUUAACUCUUUCUGUUUCUGCUUCCUGUUUAGCCUCACGAUCAGCCAAAUUAUUUCCAGUCUCUUGAUCAGAGUUACCUCUUUGAUGUCCUUUACAAUGUAUGAUAGCCACUUCAUUGGGUAAUUGUACAGUUUCUAACAAUCGUAGAAUUUCCGUUGCAUGUUUAACCUUUAUCUUCCCUGGGUAUUUAAAAGUCCUCAUUCUUUCCAGAUUGCUCCACAUGCAUGAACUACACCAAAGGCAUAUUUGGAAUCAGUUCAUAUGUUUAUCUGCUUGUUCUUUGCCAACUCCAAGGCUCUAGUCAGGGCUAUUAUUUCUGCCUUUUGUGCUGAGGUGUUAGAGGGUAAUGGUUUAGCUUCUAUUACCUUUGAAGUUGUAGUUAUGGCAUAUCCUGCUCUUCAUUUACCAUCUUUAACGAAGCUGCUGCCAUCAGUGAACUGGGAAUCUGCACCCUCCAGAGGCUCCUCCUUCAGAUCUGGUCGGCUCGAAUAUACUGUCUAUAAACACCAUAAUCAUGGAUCCAGAGUCGACACCAUUCUGUCAUUCCCAGAAACAUCCAGAGAUCUUUAACCGUGGAUGGUCAUGGUGUUUGAGAGAUUGCUUCUUUGCAAGCUGCUCCAAGUUCUGGUUGUCCUCCUGUUAUUUUGCAUCCUAAAUAAGAUACUUGAGUUUGAA